rnacentral:rRNA from 1 species
GACGAACGCUGGCGGCGUGCUUAACACAUGCAAGUCGAACGGUAACGCGGGGCAACCUGGCGACGAGUGGCGAACGGGUGAGUAAUGCAUCGGAACGUGCCCAGUAGUGGGGGAUAGCCCGGCGAAAGCCGGAUUAAUACCGCAUACGACCUACGGGUGAAAGGGGGGGAUCGCAAGACCUCUCGCUAUUGGAGCGGCCGAUGUCAGAUUAGGUAGUUGGUGGGGUAAAGGCCCACCAAGCCUUCGAUCUGUAGCUGGUCUGAGAGGACGACCAGCCACACUGGGACUGAGACACGGCCCAGACUCCUACGGGAGGCAGCAGUGGGGAAUUUUGGACAAUGGGCGCAAGCCUGAUCCAGCCAUGCCGCGUGCGGGAAGGAGGCCUUCGGGUUGUAAACCGCUUUUGUCAGGGAAGAAACGCUCUGGGCUAAUACCUCGGGGUAAUGACGGUACCUGAAGAAUAAGCACCGGCUAACUACGUGCCAGCAGCCGCGGUAA